UCUGAAUUUCCAAUUUAUUUUUUUUGGCUGGAUCCCACGUCUUCCUAGCAAUGUCACCGCCAAUACUUCAUGACUACAACAAUAUUCAACUGCAAUACUUACCAAUUAAAAGAAAAUAAAUUAGCCAAUUAUAUGUAAAUUAGAAAAAAAAUUUACAUUUUUUUGUUGAUUUUUGAGUGUUUCUUGAAUUUCUGUCAAAUGGGUAGCUAGGAAAAAAAAAAUAGCUAAUCAUAUGUACAUUAAGAAAAGAAUUACUACUUUUUUUUAUUUCUUGAAUUUCUGUCAAUCAUAUGUAAAUUAGGAAAAAAAUUGAUUUUUGUUUGUUUCUUGAAAUUCUGUUAAAUGUGUAGCUAGCAAAAAAAGUUUUGUGAUCUUGGUAAGUCCCAUUUUGUUGUUGUUGUUGAAAAUUUGAUUUGGGUGGUUGAAUUGGAGCUGUGGGGUUUCCAAAGAUUGUAUCUUUUUUGGGUUUGAGUUGUUUUAAAGGUGAAAGUUUGGAUAUUUUCAAGAAUGUGGAGGGACCCUGGAGCUCCUGCUGAUUCUUUUUACCAGGUUCGUCCUGAAUGUACAGAUGUACCGAAAACAAGAUUUAGAAUCAAGGCUGGGAAAACCUUAAGUGCAAGGAAAUGGCGUGCUGCAUUUACAUCAGAAGGUUAUCUUGACAUUGGCAAAACGUUAAGUCGAAUUUAUCGUGGGGGGAUUCAUCCAUCUAUUAGAGGUGAAGUUUGGGAAUUUUUAUUGGGUUGUUAUGAUCCAAAGAGCACAUUUGAAGAACGAGAACACAUAAGGCAGCGGAGGAGGGACCAGUAUGCCGUACUGAAAGAAGAAUGCCACACGAUAUUUCGCAUGAUCGGAAGUGGUAGUUUUAUUACUGCACCUAUAAUUACUGAAAAUGGCGAUCCUAUCCUAGAUCCUAUUACUCUCCAAGAGGCACAAGCAACAAAAGAAUUAAGUUCAGGUGGUCAACAAAACGGUAAUCCUGGAUGUGAAAUGGUAAAGGAGUACGACAAAAGAAUAAUCCAGUGGAAACUCUCGUUACACCAGAUAGGACUCGAUGUUGUUCGGACCGACAGGACACUUGUCUUUUAUGAGAAACAGGAGAAUCUAGCCAAGCUUUGGGAUAUUCUGUCUGGUUACGCUUGGUUUGACAAAGAUAUCAAUUAUUGUCAAGGAAUGAGUGAUCUCUGCUCUCCCAUGAUUAUUCUUCUUGAUGAUGAAGCCGAUGCAUUUUGGUGCUUUGAACGCCUAAUGAGGAGACUGAGAGGAAACUUCAGAUGCACCGAGAGGUCUGUCGGAGUAGAGGCGCAGCUGAGUAAUCUAGCUUCAGUAACACAAGUUAUUGAUCCUAAACUUCAUCAUCACUUAGAGACAUUAGGUGGAGGUGAUUACCUAUUUGCUAUCCGAAUGCUCAUGGUUUUGUUUCGUCGAGAAUUCUCUUUUGCUGAUUCGUUAUAUCUUUGGGAGAUGAUGUGGGCUUUGGAAUAUGAUCCCGACUUGUUUCUUAUGUACGAAGACCCUAACUUAGCUGCUGAAAAGUCUGAAGGAUCUAAAGGAAGAGCAAAAUCGACACGCCAGUGUGGGAAAUUUGAGAGAGAAAAUCUGAAAAAUGGAAGCAAAGGUGUCGAAGCUCCACUGCCAAUUUCCAUUUUCCUAGUAGCCAGUGUCCUCAAAGACAAGAGCACGAAGUUGCUGACAGAAGCUAAGGGACUGGACGACGUUGUUAAGGCAGGCAGUCAGUACCUGUCAUGUUGUGGCCGAUGGAUGGAAGAAAAUUCCUUCGAAUCUUACUUUAAUGAUCUGAAGGGGAGCCUUGGAGUAACUGGUAAAGUUGCUGCCAUGUGAUCAGGAGGUCACGGGUUCAAGCCUUGGAAACAGCCUCUGACAGAAAUGCAAGAUACUGAAUGACAUCACCGGAAACCUGGACGCCAAAAAGGCUUGCACUGGUGCAAUGAAACUUCACAAGAAAUAUCUUAAAAAGGCAGCCAAUGCCAACAGGUAACAAAAACAAAGCCAAAGCUGCGCGAUUCAUAAGCCAUGGAGCUCAUGUUAACCAACGCUUAUGACGGUACUUCCCUUGUUCUCUCCAAUGUGCUUGAUACUGCAACACUGUUGCCACAGGGUGAGAAUGCUAUCGCGAUUUGUUGAGACCCAUUUGUGAGAAAUCGACAUAAAUAGCUACUUCCAAGUAGUAGCUGGUAGUUGUAUAAUACAUGUAUUUUAGUUACCUUUGGAUCUGCUGUCUUGAUUUUCAAUAUCAUUUUCCACCUUGAUGGUGAAGGUAUUGGCAGUUGCAAUGGCCAACAAGCACAAAAAGAGAAAGUGAAAUUUUCCCCACAGAAAAAAAUGAAAUAUGUUUAUAUAUAUUAGUUAUUGCUGGUGCA